rnacentral:piRNA from 1 species
UGACGGUGUUGCUUCAGAGAGGAGUC